GCCUGCUGAGUGGAAAGGGGAAAAGGGAAAUUUGAGAUCAAGCCAUCCCAGACCAGAGCCAUCUUCCUUGUCCACCUCUGAACUCCCUCUCUCUGCCUCAUUUCUUUAACCCCGGGGGUCAGAGCAUGCUCUUCCCUUUGCUCAUGAUUUCUCCUUUCCUGGUGCAGCGGAGUUCACACUAGCCAGUGUUCUGGUAGAUGGAAAGGUUGCCCCACCUCUCCUGGGCUUCUCUCAUCUUAGCCGGGUUCCCCCCUUCUUCACGUUUUGUCCUUCCUAGGUAGUUGGAGUCUAGCUCCUAGGUAAUGCCAGCCAUAGCUGAGGGCCAGGGGAGCAGGUGGCUGUGCAGAGCCACUUCCAGCCUGUGGACAAAGGGCUGAGACACGGAAAAUCUACCAGUGCCCAUUCCGGCUUAGGCCUGACUGGGGCAGCCUUGGGUCAAGUCCUCUCUGUAGUCCCGGUUUCUACCAACAUCAGGAAGGGGAGCCGCAAGAACCAUCUAGGCAGGCGCCUGGGGACUGUGUCAGGAUGGAGAGUUCAAUCCCCACCCCUGAAGAUGGGACUUAGCAACGCCCUUCCGAAGAACAGAGAAAGGGAAAAGUAUAACUUUCAACGAAGAUCAACCUGGCAAAUACGGCCUUAAGCAGCGCUGAAGGUUAACAUCAGGGACAGGGUGUCACCAGGACAUCGUGGAUAGCACAUGCCCCUCAUAUAACGUAGGAGGGCCAUUUCACCUCUGUAGCAUACUUUCUGAAAGCCCAUAACCCCGGAGUGGGGGAGAGUCUGUAGGAUACUUGACCAAUACACUGCACGACUGUCAAAAUCAUGGAAAACAAGGACCAAAAGCUAUCACCUGAGGUAACUGGGGAGACAUGCCCACUGAGUGCAAUGUGGCAUGUGGACCAGGUCCUGGAACAGAAAGAGGACAUAAAUGGAAAAGCUGGUGACCUCUAAAUCAAGCGUGGAGUAGUUUAACAGUCAUGUGCCAAUGUCAGCGUCUUCAUUUUGACAAAGGAAGACCUGGGUUGAAGCCCUGCCUCCAUCAAUCUCAAGAUGCGGGACCUCAGGGAAGGGAGGAGAGGUACCACCAAGGAUAUGCAUGGAAGCCGCCAUCACCUGAGUUCCUCAUCUGUAAGCCAGAAGCCAAGCCAGCCUGAGAAAGAAGCGUCUCUCAGCCAGCAUCCCUGACAAGGACAUGCCUGCUCCGUGGGGAAGUCUUAGGUACUAUAUGCUUGGCCUUCACCACAAAAGCCCCGCAGCCCAGAGAAUGGAAAAUGUGGCUUUAGAGUAGCCGAUCCACUACGCAAGCUUGGAAAACCAGGCGAAGACCAAGCAAAGUUCAACUAGCAGAUGUCACAGAACAGAGAAGGAUGAUAAUAAGAACACCGGCUGUCGGCGUCCUUACCCUGGAUUCAAAACAGUUUGGAGAUGGGGCUGGGAUCAGAGCAAUUCUUCAGUUAGGAAGUUACAGCAGCAUUUACUGAAGCAAGCGGCCAGAACUGCUGGGGCUGACAUUGUACCUUUUCUGUUUGGUUUCAUUUUCCUCCCCAGCCGGCUCCUGAAAUAACCCUCUAGCUCUCAAACCAAUGUUUGUUUGCACCUGGCUUUUGGAAAUCAGCAGUACCCCCCCAACGGAGCAUCAGCUAACAGGCUGGGAACUCUUUGUCAACAAGUUCUUAAACGGCCCACAAUUCGGCUAAGAGCUUGCAUGAUUCUUGCUGGUGCUCAAAGACCCAAGUAAAAACAAUAAACGGAGGCUCUGCCCACUCCGCAAUCUAAGGCGAGAAGUCAUCUGUCCUAGGGGGUGCU